CUGAAAUCUUUCAAGAUAUCAAGAUUUUGAAACACUAUAAAAGCCCAAAUGCAGCCCAAAAGAAUAUUCAUUAUAUCUUUUAACAUGAAGUUUGUUUGCGUCGUCGUCGUUGUCACUGCCCUUGUUUGCUUACUAGGAGUUGAACUCGUAGCUAGUUCUCCUGUUGCUUCAGGAAUUAGUCCAAAUUGUGGUACCAUGAUGUGCACAGCGAUUAGCCUUCCAGUUUGUGGAAUUCUCAAUGGAGAAGAAAGAUCAUUCCCAAAUCAAUGUGAGAUGGACAAUCACAAUGAUUGCCAACCUACAGAAUUGAAAUAUCAACCUUGUUAAUCAUAACUCCAUUCUUUUUUUUUAAAAAGAAAAUAUAUAUAAAUACAAGAAAUACCUAAUAAAAUGCUUUAAAUUAAUCGCAAAA